rnacentral:rRNA from 1 species
UACGAAGGGGGCUAGCGUUGUUCGGAAUUACUGGGCGUAAAGCGCACGUAGGCGGAUACUUAAGUCAGGGGUGAAAUCCCGGGGCUUAACCCCGGGCCUGCAGUGGGUACGGGCAGACUAGAGUGCGGUAGGGGAGACUGGAAUUCCGUGGUGUAGCGGUGAAAUGCGCAGAUACUCAGGAGGAACACCGGUGGCGAAGGCGGGUCUCUGGGCCGUAACUGACGCUGGAGGAGCGAAAGCCAUGGGGAGCGAACAGG